rnacentral:rRNA from 1 species
AUGGCUAGCUUGUUGCUUGGCAGUGCUGGCCCAAGUGAUGUCCAAAGGCAUUUCCAAAGAAGGCAUUGGAGAAGCUGCAGCUUACCUUGCUUGGGGGAACCACAAACAACUUCUUUUGUAUCCAGCUUUAGCACCAACAAACAAUAUUUCUUCCGCUAUGGUUCCUUCUCAAUUAAGGAUGGAUCGGAAAUUAGAUUCUGGGAGGAUGAGUGGCUAGGUAAUGCUACUCUCCGAAAACAAUAUCCAGCUCUAUACAAUAUUGUGCGUCACAAGGGUGAUACUAUUGCCAAGGUUUUGGAAUCAUUUUCCGCCAAAUGUGACGUUCAAAAGGGAUUUAAUUGGACCUAG